AUUGAACGCUGGCGGCAGGCCUAACACAUGCAAGUCGAACGAGUGGCGGACGGGUGAGUAAUGUCUGGGAAACUGCCCGAUGGAGGGGGAUAACUACUGGAAACGGUAGCUAAUACCGCAUACCAUCGGAUGUGCCCAGAUGGGAUUAGCUAGUAGGUGGGGUAACGGCUCACCUAGGCGACGAUCCCUAGCUGUUCUGAGAGGAUGACCGUCAACCCUGGACUGGAGACACGGUCCAGACGCCUACGGGAGGCAGCAGUGGGGAACAUUGGACAAGGGGCGCAAGCCUGAUGCAGCCAGGCCGCGGGUAGGAAGAAGGCCUUCGGGUUGUAAAGUACUUUCAGCGAGGAGGCGGUACUCGCAGAAGAAGCACCGGCUAACUCCGUGCCAGCAGCCGCGGUAAUUC
rnacentral:rRNA from 1 species